AAACAAACAAGCAAAAUCUACCAACAAUAAAUUGUUCUUAUUUAUUUAUUUAUUCUUCUUCAAUUUGCAGGGGAUUUAUUCUUUGAGUCCUUGGAACUGUGAAGCAUUACAUGUGAUAAUCUCUUAAGAAAUACAAAGAUGCUGAAAAUAGAUAACACAGGUCUGAAAGCUGAACUGCAGAAUUUUGUGUAUGCAAGGACUGUGGAAUGGAAAUUAUCUAAAAUAGUUUUUUCUUCUGCAUACUUUCUGUAUUGGGCUGACUUCACCAGGUGCUGCAGUAGGGACAUUGUGUGAAGUGAGGCUGGGGCUGCCCCGUGCAGGCUCCAGCUGGUCCCAGCUGGUUCCAAUUGCCCCUCCACAGGGUGCAGUCAGGCCUCACAGCUACUUUGGGGUCACCUCAGGAGUUUAGUAAAGGUUGAAAACUGAUGCAUAGAAGCUCUGAGUGAGAGAAGAAAGAAAAAUGUGAGAGAAACAGCCCAGCAGAUGCAGAAGUCAGAGAAGGGGUAGGCGGAGGAGGUGCUCUAGGCACUGGAGCAGAGGUUGGUUUGCAACCUGUGGGGAAGAUUCCAGUGAGGCAGGACCUUGGAGGAUCACAUUGGAGCAGAUAAACACGCUGCAGCCUGUGAAGGACCCCACACUGCUGAAGGUAGAGCUAACACUGACAAAAGCUGCAUCUCGUGGAUGGCCAAUAUAGUAAAAUGUGGCUCAUGCUGGAGCCAGCUGUGCCUGAUGGACUCGCAUUGGAGCAUUUUGUGAAGGACUGUCCUGUGUGAGGGACCCCACACAGGAGCUGGGGAGAAGUGUAUGAAAAGAGAGCAGCAAGGAUGAACUGUUACAAAGUGACUGCAGCCCCAAUUCCCCAUCCUCCCUGUGUUGCUUAGACCUGGGGGAGGUUGAAGAGUUGGAGAUGAAGGAGUGAACUUGAGCCUGGGAAGAAGGGGAACUGAAGGUAAGGUGGUUUGGUUUUACCUUUGUUCCUCACCAUCCUACUUUAUUUUUAAUCAGCAGCACUUCAUUUGUUUAUUGUCCU
rnacentral:lncRNA from 1 species